GCGUGCCUAAUACAUGCAAGUCGAGCGAACUGAUUAGAAGCUUGCUUCUAUGACGUUAGCGGCGGACGGGUGAGUAACACGUGGGCAACCUGCCUGUAAGACUGGGAUAACUUCGGGAAACCGAAGCUAAUACCGGAUAGGAUCUUCUCCUUCAUGGGAGAUGAUUGAAAGAUGGUUUCGGCUAUCACUUACAGAUGGGCCCGCGGUGCAUUAGCUAGUUGGUGAGGUAACGGCUCACCAAGGCAACGAUGCAUAGCCGACCUGAGAGGGUGAUCGGCCACACUGGGACUGAGACACGGCCCAGACUCCUACGGGAGGCAGCAGUAGGGAAUCUUCCGCAAUGGACGAAAGUCUGACGGAGCAACGCCGCGUGAGUGAUGAAGGCUUUCGGGUCGUAAAACUCUGUUGUUAGGGAAGAACAAGUACAAGAGUAACUGCUUGUACCUUGACGGUACCUAACCAGAAAGCCACGGCUAACUACGUGCCAGCA
rnacentral:rRNA from 1 species